UACGUAGGGCGCAAGCGUUGUCCGGAAUUAUUGGGCGUAAAGAGCUCGUAGGCGGCUUGUCGCGUCGAUUGUGAAAGCCCGGGGCUUAACUCCGGGUCUGCAGUCGAUACGGGCAGGCUAGAGUGUGGUAGGGGAGAUCGGAAUUCCUGGUGUAGCGGUGAAAUGCGCAGAUAUCAGGAGGAACACCGGUGGCGAAGGCGGAGCUCUGGGCCAUUACUGACGCUGAGGAGCGAAAGCGUGGGGAGCGAACAGG
rnacentral:rRNA from 1 species